rnacentral:lncRNA from 1 species
ACACUGCUGUAGUGAUGAGGGAGCACAUUGUGCUGUAGUGAUGAGGGAGCACACUGCUGUAGUGAUGAGGAGCACACUGCUAUAGUGAUGAGGGAGCACAUUGUGCUGUAGUGAUGAGGGAGGACACUGCUCUAGUGAUGAGGGAGCACACUGCUGUAGUGAUGAGGGAGCAUACUGUGCUAUAGUCAUGAGGGAGCACACUGCUGUAGUGAUGAGGGAACACAUUGUGCUGUAGUGAUGAGGGAGCACACUGCUGUAGUGAUGAGAAGCACACUGCUAUAGUGAUGAGGGAGCACAUUGUGCUGUAGUGAUGAGGGAGGACACUGCUCUAGUGAUGAGGGAGCACACUGCUGUAGUGAUGAGGGAGCAUACUGUGUUAUAGUGAUGAGGGAGCACACUGCUGUAGUGAUGAGGGAACACACUGCUGUAGUGAUGAGGGAGCACAUUGUGCUGUAGUGAUGAGG